AAAAGGAACCUAAUGGAUCGUACACCAAGUAAGGUAGAGAUUGAAGAAAAAUCGGAGAUGAGUAAGAAUAAUUAAAUGGUUUAAUUAUUUAUGGCAAGGAUUAAUUAAUAUGUUAAUUAAUCAAACGAAAAAGUUCGUUAAAGAACUCGGGAUAGUUUUGGACCUUAAGGCCCAAUGGGCUUCGAACGUCAAGUCCAUUGACUUAAGUUGUAUGACAACUUAAUGAAUAAUGAUUCACAAAGGCCCAAAUAGCCCAAUGAAUCCCUAUGGCCGGCCAUUUAGAGAUGGAGUGGGUUUUGGACUUAUUUACAAGUUUGCCACUCCAAUGAAUUAAGGUAUAAAUAUGACUUUAUAGCCAAAAUUCAUUUAGGGUUUCUUUUAGAGAAUUGGAAAGAACAUAUCUCUCCCUUUUCUCUCUAAGAGGCCGGCCACCCUUGGAGGGAUUAGCUAGUAAUCUUUCUCCUCCAAGGUCACUCAUCUCUUCUUCACAUCUGACCUUGGUGUGGAGACUUAGAGGUUCUCAAUUUUGGGAACUUGGAGAAACCUAUUCUUUCAUCCAAAUCCAUGGAUCUAAGAAGCAAGGAAUGAAGGCCCUCUUCUUGGGUGAUUAGCCUUUGCUUAUGCAAAGAGGAAUCUACAAAGGUAUAAAUUUCUUAACUCACUUUGAUUUGAGUUGAGUCUUGGUUCACCAAUCUACUAGGCUUUGAAUUUCAUGGUUAAUGUUUUGUUUUUAAGUGCAUACAAGCAUGAUUCCGCCUUUAAUUGUUAAUUGCAUGCUAAUAGAUGUUGCUUAAAUGAACAUGUUUUUCACAAAAUUUCCUUCAGUUUUGGUUUUUUUUUUUUUUCAAAUCUUGGUGGUUGGAUUUUGAGAUCAAGGCUAUGAGUGGGUUUGGGUUUCAAAUCUGCAUCGGGAAGGGGGGCAAACGGAGUUUCCCACAAGCAUGCUUGCAGACUAGCAACGUUCAUACGACUUGCAGAUAGUUCUGAAAACAUGACUAGCAAUCCCAUGGUUUUUCAGGGGUUUCGCCAAGACCGGCUAAUCCUGUGAUUAGUCGAGGCGAGUGAAGGUUAGUGCCAUUAAAGUUAGUCCAAUGGGUAACAAACAUGGGACUGAACUAACCCUUAGUCAAGUCCAGUCCAGUGAGAUCAAAGGGAAACAAACACCCCCUAAGUGUUUUUGAAUCCAUCCUUUACAAGGGGACAUGCAUUCUACGAAACAAGUUUCUAUGAUCCAACCGUUCUACAUGUUUCUAUAUAUUUUGAGAUCUCCUACACCAAAAAUCACCCAAAAAAAGUUUAGAGAUUAGUUAACUAGAUAAAAUCAUUCGACGGUUAAAAUGAAAAAUAAUGAUUUAAUGAUCGUUUUAGCUUCGAUUUUGUUAAUUUGUUACAAAUACAUUCCUCAACCCUGGAAGAAUAAGAUGAAUGAACCUGAAUCAUCAAUUUAAAAUAUUUAAAGUAGUGGAUACAACAAAAAAAUUUGUUCUACUUAAUAUAAAUAUCGAAUAAACUCUUUUAAGCAUUUUAGAAUCCUUUACAAAGGGACACGCAUUCUACGAAACUAGUUUCCACGAUCCAACCAUCAAACAUGUUUGCAUAUACAUCGAGAUCUCCUAUGCCAAAAAAAUAAUGUUCGGAGAUUGGGUAACGGGACGGAAUCAUUCGACGGUUAUAAACGAAAAAAUCACGAUUAAAGGUCAUUUAGCUUCGAUUUUGUUGAUUGUUUACAAAUACAAUCCUAAACACCCCAGAAGAAUAAGAUGAAUGAGCCUGAUCAUCAAUUUAAAAUAUUUAAAGUCGUGGAUACAAAAAAAAAUGACAUUCUACUUAAUGGAAAUACAAAACAAACUCUUUAGUGUUUUGGAAUCCAUUCUUUACAAGGGGACACAUAUUCUCUUAAACUAGUUUCCAUGAUCCAACCCUCAAAUAUGCUUGCAUAUAUUUCGAGAUCUCCUAUGCCAAAAAUCACGCAAAAAAUGUUCAUAGAUUAGGUAGCAAGACAAAAUCAUUCAAACGUCAAAAUAGAAAAAUCACGAUUAGCUUGGAUUUUGUUUAUUUUUUUUACAAAUACAAUCCUUAACCCUAGACAAAUAAGAUGAAUGAACUUGAUCAUCAAUUUAAAAUAUUUAAAAGGGUUUUUUUUUUAUCAAAAAUGGUCCUUGAAAUUAACCAUCAUCAUGAAGAUGGUCCUUGAAAUUGAAAAUUAAUCAACGUUGUCCCUAAAUAGGUUUUGCAAAUCAAUGUUGUCUUCUCAUUACAAUUAUGUUAAAACUUUAGUUAAGUGCUGAUAUGACACAUAAAUGGGUCCUAUAAGUUUUUUUUUCUCACAAAUGAUCGUUGAAAUUGACCGACGACAUCAAAAUGGUCCUUGAAAUUGACAUGCGACAUCAAAAUGGUCUCUGACUUGAAAAUUUAUCAAUGUAGUCCCGCAAGUAAGUGUCCUAAAUCAAUAUAGUCCUUCCAUCACAAGUCUGUCAAAAAUUUUGUUAUAUGCUAAUGUGACACAUGAAUGGAUAACACAAGUCUAAUUAAAUUAAAAAAAAUUACAAAUUGGUUUAAUAAUUCAAUGGUUAAUAAAAAGUUGUGAACUAAAAACCUAGUCGUGCAAUAACCUCUGAUCCUAUUCCACAUUUCUCUACCUCAUUCACUGUCUAUUCUCUAUAAAAAAAUCUCAAUGCACCCAUCUUUACACACUUCGACACCCUUCACCGAAUUGAACCUGGAUCAAGAUCACCUUUGGUGACGGAUUGGAUGAUUGGCAACGACUUCUGGGAGAUCACAUUUAACAUUUAGG
rnacentral:lncRNA from 1 species